rnacentral:rRNA from 1 species
CGGCGAGUGAAGCGGCAACAGCUCAAAUUUGAAAUCUGGCCCUCGGGUCCGAGUUGUAAUUUGUAGAGGAUGCUUUUGGCGCGGUGCCUUCCGAGUUCCCUGGAACGGGACGCCUUAGAGGGUGAGAGCCCCGUACGGUUGGACACCAAGCCUCUGUAAAGCUCCUUCGACGAGUCGAGUAGUUUGGGAAUGCUGCUCUAAAUGGGAGGUAAAUUUCUUCUAAAGCUAAAUAUUGGCCAGAGACCGAUAGCGCACAAGUAGAGUGAUCGAAAGAUGAAAAGCACUUUGAAAAGAGGGUUAAAUAGCACGUGAAAUUGUUGAAAGGGAAGCGUUUGCGACCAGACCUUCUCCUGGCGGAUCAUCCGGUGUUCUCACCGGUGCACUUCGCCAGGUCGAGGCCAGCAUCGGUUUCCGCAGGGGGAUAAAAGCCUGGGGAACGUAGCUCCUCCGGGAGUGUUAUAGCCCCUCGCAUAAUACCUUUGCGGGGACCGAGGACCGCGCUUUUUGCAAGGAUGCUGGCGUAAUGGUCGUCAACGACCCGUCUUGAAACACGGACCAAGGAGUCGAACAUUUGUGCGAGUGUUUGGGUGUCAAACCCUCACGCGUAAUGAAAGUGAACGGAGGUGAGAGCCCUCACGGGUGCAUCAUCGACCGAUCCUGAUGUCUUCGGAUGGAUUUGAGUAAGAGCAUAACUGUUCGGACCCGAAAGAUGGUGAACUAUGCGUGGAUAGGGUGAAGCCAGAGGAAACUCUGGUGGAGGCUCGCAGCGGUUCUGACGUGCAAAUCGAUCGUCAAAUCUGCGCAUGGGGGCGAAAGA